UACGUAGGGUCCGAGCGUUGUCCGGAAUUACUGGGCGUAAAGAGCUCGUAGGUGGUUUGUCGCGUUGUCCGUGAAAACUCACAGCUUAACUGUGGGCGUGCGGGCGAUACGGGCAGACUGGAGUACUGCAGGGGAGACUGGAAUUCCUGGUGUAGCGGUGGAAUGCGCAGAUAUCAGGAGGAACACCGGUGGCGAAGGCGGCAUCCUGGACCGAGAUUGACGCUGAUGCGCGAAAGCCAGGGGAGCAAACGGG
rnacentral:rRNA from 1 species